AUAUCUAGAAAAAUAUCUUUGAUUGAAGAUUUUAUUUUUCCAAAUCUGGAAGACAAAAGUUUUGGUCAUGCAUUAAAAUGGGAAAAUAGAAAUACGGGAACAUUCGUAAUGUUUUGGCCUCAUAAAUCGAGAAGAAAAUGGAACGAAACAGAUUUCAUUGUUUUCGCGGAAUGGGACAAAAAGAAAGGUAAUUAUAAACCAAAUAAGCAUGGAUAUUGGACUAAUGCUAAAGGAAGACUUCGUUCUGCAUUUUGUAGACUAUCAAACAAAAUAGAAUUUUUAGGCAAAGUUUCUAAUUCAAUGCCAUAUAGAAGAUAUCGUCUAAAAAAUAUUGAGGAAUUAAUCCGUUUAUCAGAUAAUACGUCACAAUUACCGACAACAAUGGUUUCGGAUUUCGAAAGUAUUUUACCAACAGAAGAACACCUCAAUCUCUCGUGUAUUAACAAUCCCCCUACUUUGAACGGGAUGAGUAAUGAAUGUAGUAAUUUAAAUAACAACGAGAAAAACAUUCAGUAUGAAUACGUUCUUCCAUAUCCACAAAUAAAGGAUGAGAAUGAUUCCGAUUAUCGCCAACAUACAGAAUACAAUUUAAAUAGUUUUACGUUAAAUUUCGAUACGGAUUAUAUCUCUUCUGAAGGUAUGUAUCGCUAUCUUAGAUUUUUCUCUUAAGAAUAUGGAAUGAUGUGGACUACAACUAUUCGUAAAGUUCGUAAUUAAUUAUUUUCUUUUGCAUUUUAAUAGACAAAUGGUUGAUGAAACUAUACAAAUGCAUGAAUUGGAAAAUUAUCAUUUUGCUUGCAAAAAUGUAAGCAAUAUAAUCAUUAUAUAAGCUAUUUUUACCUAAAAUAGUGAACAAUUUUAUAUUGCGUUAUUGAAUAUAGAAUUCAGCAUAGAAAACAACUCUCAAUCCUCAAUCAUUUAACAACAAAGACGAUUUAACAUCAUAUCAUAACGAAUACCUCAUGAUGAACACAUUAUCUUCCAUCAUCGAUCCUGAAGUUUUGCAACCUUCUGCAUCCUCCGAAUAUCUACGAGAAGAAACCAAUGAUUUAAUAUUACUUACUAAUGAAAUCUGUAAAGAUGCCAAUAAAU